rnacentral:rRNA from 1 species
UACAGAGGGUGCGAGCGUUGUCCGGAAUCACUGGGCGUAAAGGGCGCGUAGGUGGCGACCCAAGUCGAUGGUGAAAGCUCGCCGCUCAACGGCGAGUCGGCCACUGAUACUGGGUUGCUGGAGCACUGUAGAGGCAGAUGGAAUUCCGGGUGUAGCGGUGGAAUGCGUAGAGAUCCGGAAGAACACCGGUGGCGAAGGCGGUCUGCUGGGCAGUAGCUGACACUGAGGCGCGACAGCGUGGGGAGCAAACAGG